rnacentral:tRNA from 1 species
GGAGCGGUAUCGAAGUGGUCAUAACGGGGCUGACUCGAAAUCAGUUAGGCCGCAAGGUCUCGUGGGUUCGAAUCCCACCCGCUCCG